rnacentral:rRNA from 1 species
CAAUAGCGUAUAUUAAAGUUGUUGCGGUUAAAAAGCUCGUAGUUGGAUUUCUGCUGAGAACGACCGGUCCGCCCUCUGGGUGUGUAUCUGGCUCUUUCUUGGCAUCUUCUUGGUGAACGUUGCUGCACUUGACUGUGUGGAGCGCUACCCAGGACUUUUACUUUGAGGAAAUUAGAGUGUUUCAAGCAGGCAUACGCCUUGAAUACAUUAGCAUGGAAUAAUAAGAUAGGACCUCGGUUCUAUUUUGUUGGUUUCUAGAGCUGAGGUAAUGAUUAAUAGGGAUAGUUGGGGGCAUUCGUAUUUAACUGUCAGAGGUGAAAUUCUUAGAUUUGUUAAAGACGAACUACUGCGAAAGCAUUUGCCAAGGACGUUCCCAUUAA